rnacentral:rRNA from 1 species
UAGGGAAUAUUAGUAAUGGGCGAAAGCCUGAACUAGCAACACCGCGUGUGCGAAGAAGGCCUUCGGGUUGUAAAGCACUUUUUGAGAGGAUGAGGAAGGACGGUACUCUCAGAAUAAGUCUCGGCUAACUACGUGCCAGCAGCCGCGGUAACACGUAGGAGGCAAACGUUAUCCGGAUUUACUGGGCGUAAAGCGCGUGUAGGUGGUUUGGUAAGUAGAGCGUGAAAGCUCCUGGCUCAACUGUGAGAGGUCGUUCUAAACUGCCGGACUAGAGGGUGGUAGAGGGAGGUGGAAUUCCGGGUGUAGCGGUGGAAUGCGCAGAUAUCCGGAGGAACACCAGUGGCGAAAGCGGCCUCCUGGACCACUCCUGACACUCAUACGCGAAAGCUAGGGUAGCAAACG